rnacentral:rRNA from 1 species
AUUGAACGCUGGCGGCAGGCCUAACACAUGCAAGUCGAACGGUAACAGGAAACAGCUUGCUGUUUCGCCGACGAGUGGCGGACGGGUGAGUAAUGUCUGGGAAACUGCCUGAUGGAGGGGGAUAACUACUGGAGACGGUAGCUAAUACCGCAUAACGUCGCAAGACCAAAGAGGGGGACCUUCGGGCCUCUUGCCAUCGGAUGUGCCCAGAUGGGAUUAGCUAGUAGGUGGGGUAACGGCUCACCUAGGCGACGAUCCCUAGCUGGUCUGAGAGGAUGACCAGCCACACUGGAACUGAGACACGGUCCAGACUCCUACGGGAGGCAGCAGUGGGGAAUAUUGCACAGUGGGCGCAAGCCUGAUGCAGCCAUGCCGCGUGUAUGAAGAAGGCCUUCGGGUUGUAAAGUACUUUCAGCGGGGAGGAAGGGAGUAAAGUUAAUACCUUUGCUCAUUGACGUUACCCGCAGAAGAAGCACCGGCUAACUCCGUGCCAGCCGCCGCAGUAA